rnacentral:rRNA from 1 species
CCCUUAGAUGUCCGGGGCCGCACGCGCGUUACACUGAUGCAUUCAACGAGCCUAUAACCUUGGCCGAGAGGCCUGGGCAAUCUUGUUAACGUGCAUCGUGAUAGGGAUAGAUUAUUGAAAUUAUUAAUCUUGAACGAGGAAUUCCUAGUAAACGCAGAUCAUCAAUCUGCAUUGAUUACGUCCCUGCCCUUUGUACACACCGCCCGUCGCACCUACCGAUUGGAUGGUCCGGUGAAGCCUCGGGAUUGUGGUUCUUGCCGCUUUAUUGUGGCGUGACCGCGAGAACUUGUCUAAACCUUAUCAUCUAGAGGAAGGUGAAGUCGUAACA